rnacentral:sRNA from 1 species
UGUAAUACUAAGACAAGUCCAAUCAGGGAAGGGCAGGACAUGUUUGUGCAACCGAUUCAGACCUGGGCUCAUAGUUAUGGUACAGUGGGCACAUACAGAAGCUGAAUGAUGAUCUAAGAGAUACUGACAGAAUGAUACACAGAAGAAUGGGUAAAGAAUGACUCAAGCAAGGUCUUAUACAAAUACAUCUUAAAAAAAAAAAAAAACUUCCCUGCAAGUCGAUAACAGGAAAGAUCUGAGGCUGUGAAUUCUUCCAUAAAUAUCUCCAAUUACUUAUUCAAAUACAUAACUAUGACUUAAAUAAAAUCUGCAUAUGUG